CAGUAGCCACGGUAAUACCUAGGGUGCGAGCGUUAAUCGGAAUUACUGGGCGUAAGCGUGCGCAGGCGGUUGUGUAGGACAGGUGUGAAAGCCCCGGGCUUAACCUGGGAACUGCGCUUGUGGCUGCACAGCUAGAGUAUGGCAGAGGGGGGUGGAAUUCCACGUGUAGCAGUGAAAUGCGUAGAGAUGUGGAGGAACACCGAUGGCGAAGGCAGCCCCCUGGGCCAAUACUGACGCUCAUGCACGAAAGCGUGGGGGGCAAACAGGAUUAGAUACCCCCGUAGUCCCUGUCUCUUAUACA
rnacentral:rRNA from 1 species